rnacentral:rRNA from 1 species
AUUGAACGCUGGCGGAAUGCUUUACACAUGCAAGUCGAACGGUAGAGGGGGCAACCCCUUGAGAGUGGCGAACGGGUGAGUAAUAUAUCGGAACGUGCCCAGUCGUGGGGAUAACGUAGCGAAAGUUACGCUAAUACCGCAUACGAUCUAAGGAUGAAAGCGGGGGAUCGCAAGACCUCGCGCGAUUGGAGCGGCCGAUAUCAGAUUAGGUAGUUGGUGAGGUAAAGGCUCACCAAGCCAACGAUCUGUAGCUGGUCUGAGAGGACGACCAGCCACACUGGAACUGAGACACGGUCCAGACUCCUACGGGAGGCAGCAGUGGGAAUUUUGGACAAGUGGGCGCAAGCCUGAUCCAGCAAUGCCGCGUGCAGGAUGAAGGCUUCGGUGUAACGUAGUCUUUUGUUACGGAACGAAACGGUAGAGG